ACCACAAUCCGGCCAGGAAUCCGGCCACAAAUCCGGCCAAAUUCCGGCCGGAUUGCUACAGUGACCAUUUGGUCACUUCUGGUUCAAUUUCCAGCUCUGCUCCGAUUUUGACUCAACUUCAACUGAACUUUUCUUGAUGAUAAAAGCUGAUUUAGCUCUUGACCAAAACAUAAAACUUGUAGCCCUUUGAGUUAGCUUUCCAAUGCAUCAAGAAUCACCUCAUUUGGAUCUGUG
rnacentral:lncRNA from 1 species